rnacentral:tRNA from 1 species
AGAGAUAUAGCUCAGUGGUAGAGUGUGUGCUUACUGUGCAUGAGGUUCUGGAUUCAAUCUCCAAUAUCUCCA